GGGCCCGCACAAGCGGUGGAGUAUGUGGUUUAAUUCGAUGCAACGCGAAGAACCUUACCAGGGUUUGACAUCCUGCGAAUCUCUUGGAAACAGGAGAGUGCCUUCGGGAACCGAGUGACAGGUGCUGCAUGGCUGUCGUCAGCUCGUGUCGUGAGAUGUUGGGUUAAGUCCCGUAACGAGCGCAACCCUUAUCCUUAAUUGCCAGCGGUUAGGCCGGGAACUCUAAGGAGACUGCCGAUGACAAAUCGGAGGAAGGUGGGGACGACGUCAAGUCAUCAUGGCCCUUACGGCCUGGCUACACACGUGCUACAAUGGCUAGGACAGACGGCCGCAAACCCGCGAGGGGAGCCAA
rnacentral:rRNA from 1 species